AGGAUUCAAAUAUCCACAAAAAAUCAAGAUUUCAAUUCCCUAAUAAUCAGAAUUCAGAGCCGUAGCAGGCCUCGAAGUCUCGGUACAGAAUCAUCAAGAAAGUUGUGGGGGCAAAGCCUCGCCCCUACUGGUAAUUUCCUUAUAUAUUUUGAAAAUAUUAGGGGGGGGAGGCAAGUGUCCCACCCAUCCCCUGCUACGGCCCUGGAAAUACUCAUUUAUAGUUUGUUGUUUUGAAGAUUUCUGUACGAAAAGAGUGUAUCGAGGCUUAUUCGUACAGACGUAUUUUGUGUUCACCCAUCCCCUGCUACGGCCCUGGUUACGGAAGUCAUUUACAGUUUGUUGUUUGUUUGCAAAGAAAAAAGUCAAACACGCGGGAAGGAGAAGCAAAGGAUCUCAAUCCGGAGGGAGCGAAAACUGUCCUCCUAAAUUUAAUGGCUGCUAUUGGGGCGCUUUAAGGCUGAAUGGGUGAUGUCAAGGCUGAAGGGAUAGGCCUGAAGAUGUCCUCCUCGUCAUCUGCGACAUCACUCUCUGAGCUCGAGUAGGGCUUUCUCCUUCAUCGUUUAAUGCCUCCUUGAGUAGCGCCGGCAUCGUCGAUCUCCAGGGAUACAUAAUGGAUUCUGUGUGUUUCGGCCGAGUGUCCGAGUAUUAUUGAGCCGAUCGGAGAAGCGUGUUGGGGCUGGAUAGUUGCGGAGGCGUGACUUCCCAACGAAGAAACAAUCUGUAUUUCUACGAGGAAAAGAUCUGCUACGGCUUGAUCGCCGUACGUUCCGUCCUGAGACAUGGAAUACACAUGUUGAUCCCAGGGUACUUCCGCAAAUAGCUCCAGAGGUGUGUUUUGUUUUGCUGCCUUUUUUUCCUUUUCUCUUCCUCUGAAGUGAUACUUGUUAUAUCCACCAAAUAUCGUUGCAUCCCCCUUGACACCUACAUGACAUCUGCCAAGUAAGACAACCCUAUGAUGUUUCUAUGAUGAGAUAUGAGUAUUGCCGUUUUAGUGACGCCAUCGAUGACGCCGUCAUGCUGAGUGGACAUAUAGUUGCACCCCCCUUGACACCUACACGACAUCUGCCAAGUUUGGUCUUCUAAUGAUGUUUCUUUGAGUCAAAGUUAUAGGUUAUUACAUUUAUGGCGACGUGUUAUUACAUUUAUGGUUAACGUGGUUUAUAACAUUUAUGGGCGACGUGUUAUUAUAUUUAUUGCUGACUGUUUAUUAGAUUUAUGGGCGAUGUGUUAUUACAUUUAUGGUUGUUA